GGUAUAGGUCAAUGGAAUAGAGUUGAGUUUCCAGAAAUAAGCCCUUACAAGUAUUGUCAGUUGCCUUUCAAUAAGGGUUUCAAGAUCAUGAAACUGGGAUAGAUGGUGCUGGGACAACUAGAGCAACAUGCAAAAAAAAAAAGUGAAUUGCUUCCUCAAAUUAUACAUAAAAAUGAACUCAAAAUGGAUCCUAGACUUAGAAGGAAACAUAGGAGUAAAUCCUCAUAGCCUUGUAUAGGGCAAGUUCUUAGAUACUAUACCACCAAAAGCACAAGCAACAAAAGGUAAAAUAAACUGGACUUCAUCAAAGUGAAAAACUUCUGAAAAAUAACCAAUCAUGUAAGUGCAAUGUCAACCCAGAAUAGGGGAAAUACUAUACAAGUAAUAUAUUUUAAGAGCAUAUAUAAACUCUUACAACUCAAUAAUAUAACAUUUAAAAAUGGGCAAAGGAUCUGUAUUAAUCCAUUCGGACUGCUGUAACAAAAUGCCCCAGACUGUGUAGCUUCUUAAAAAUGGAAGUUUAUUUCUGUCAGUUCUGGAGGCUGAAAGUCCAAGAUGAGGAUGGUAUUUGCCUGGUCAGUUAAGGGCCUUCUUCUGGAUUGCAGAUUUCUCAUUAUAUCCUCACAUGGUAGAAGGGGUAAGGGAUCUCUUUGAUGCUUUAUUUUUUUUUAAAGGGCACUAAUCCAUUCAUGAAGACUACCCUCAUGACUUUAUUACCUCCCAAAGGCACCGGGCAUUAAAUUUUCAACAUAUGAAUUUUUGGAAAACACAUUCAGACCAUAGCACGAUCUGCCAGUUCUUCAAAGAUGGUUAAAAGCAAAUGAAAAGAUGCUCAGUAUCACUAGAUGUCAAGGACAUGCAAAUAGAGAAACCACUUCACAUUCACUAUAUUGGCUGUAAUCAAAAGGACAGAUAAUAACAAGUAUUGGUGAGGAUAUAAAGAAAUUGAGACCCUCAUUCACUGCUGAUUAGAAUAAAAAACGGUGCAAUUGCUUUAGGAAAGUUUCACAUUUCCUCAUACUAGUAAAUACCAUAUGACACAGCACUUGCUCUUAGUGUGUGUGUGUUUAAAACAUGUGUUCACAUAAAAACUAUACACUGUUCUUAGCAGCAUAUUUCUUAAUAGCCAAACAGUGGAAACAACCUCUAUGUCUAUCGGCUGACAAAUGGAUAAAGUUUGGUAUAUCCAAGCAAUGAAAUGUUAUUUGGCAAUAAAAAGUACUGAAUACUGAUAUAUAUGCUACAGCAUGGAUGGAUUUAAAAACAUUAUAGAAGAAGCCAGUCACAAAAGAGCAUAGAAAGUAUGGUACCACUUAUAUGAAAUAUCCAGAAUAGACAGCAAAUCUGUAGACAAAAGUAGUGGUUACCUAGGGUUGAAGGGUUGGGACGAUAAAGGAGUGACCCCCUAGAGGUUUCUUUUGGUGGUAAACAAAAAUGUUUUAAAAGUUGAUUGUGAUGGCUGCUCAACUCCCAGAAUAUAUUCAAAACCAGUUUUGUAGUUUAAAUGGGUGAAUUGAAUGGUUUGAGAAUUAUACUAGUAUCUCAGUAAAGGUGUUAUUUUUAAAAACUGAAUUAAAGGAGAAGCCGUGAAGUUAUAUUUGGGUUAGGCUCUAAAAUCACAACAGCAUGAAAAUCAAGUACUUUUUAAAACAAUGUUUCCUAUUCCAAGGAAACAUUUAGCAGGUAGAAGAGCUAGGAUAGAAACCUACAGCAGCCAGUAUUUUCUCUUGUAUUUUAACAGAGAACUUUGCUAUUUAUUUGGUUGAACACAAAUGAAGUAUUACUAGUUACCUUUAUUAAGGGGCUAUGUUGUAUGAAAAAUACAAGUUUACUUCAUGGCAGGCACUUAGAAUGAGGCUAGACUGGGAAAUUACUGGAUACAUAUUCCCAUCUCAACUAAUUGUAAAUAAAAUUAUAUGGCUGCUGGGAUUACAGUAUUAAAGUUUUCCCUUUUUGUCGGCCAACCACACUGGUGAUCUUACUUUUCAUGUUAGUAUGAUUCAAUUCCAGUGUAUCACUGAAGCACUUUUCUAUCUAUGAAAUCUAUAUAAAUGUUUGUUCUUAUUUCUAGAAUUAGCCUUUAUCAAUUAGGAUUAUAUUCUGCUACGUUUAAUAGAAAAUAACAGAAAUUUAAACACUAAAGAUUACUCUCUCACAUAAAGUAUGAAGUAGACUCUCUAGGACUGAUAGGCAACUGCUCUGUGGUCAGGGACCCAGGCUCUUUUUGUUGUGUCUACUUUUGCAUCAGUAAAGGUUCCUUUGUAGUCACAGGAUGGCUCCUGGAGUACCGGCUGUCACCCCACCCCCCCUAAGCCUCUGACCCCACCUCAAACACAAAGUCUUAAGUUCAGGGAAAGGGCAAAGGGGCAGGUCUCUUCUAUCUGAAGAAAGCAAGAAAAUAUUUCUUAGUGGUCACAUUGCCACAUAAUUUUACUAGUGAAGGGCAAGGUGAUGUUGAAUAAAAAACUAGAGCCCUAACUGGUUUGGCUCAGUGGAUAGAGCAUCGGCCUGCGGACUGAAAGGUCCCAGGUUCGAUUCCAGUCAAGGGCAUGUACCUUGGUUGCUGGCACAUACACAGUAGGGGUUGUGCAGGAGGCAGCUGAUCGAUGUUUCUCUCAUCCAUGUUUCUAACUCUCUAGCCCUCUCCCUUCCUCUCUGUAAAGAAUCAAUAAAAUAUAUUUAAAAAAAUAAAAAUUAAAAAAAUUAAAAACUAGAAAAUGCUACAACUCUGGAAAAACUUUAAUAGAGUGGAUAAAGAUAUUCUCAAUUACUGUGUU